rnacentral:rRNA from 1 species
ACGUAGGGACCAAGCGUUGUUCGGAUUUACUGGGCGUAAAGGGCGCGUAGGCGGUGCGGUAAGUCACUUGUGAAAUCUCCGAGCUUAACUCGGAACGGCCAAGUGAUACUGCAGUACUAGAGUGCGGAAGGGGCAAUCGGAAUUCUUGGUGUAGCGGUGAAAUGCGUAGAUAUCAAGAGGAACACCUGAGGUGAAGACGGGUUGCUGGGCCGACACUGACGCUGAUGCGCGAAAGCCAGGGGAGCAAACGGGAUUAGAUACCCCGGUAGUCCUGGCCCUAAACGAUGAAUACUUGGUGUCUGGAGUCUUUAAUGCUCCGGGUGCCGUCGCUAACGUUUUAAGUAUUCCGCCUGGGGAGUACGCUCGCAAGAGUG